rnacentral:tRNA from 1 species
GGCGCCGUAGCCAAGUGGUAAGGCAGCGGACUGCAAAUCCGUUAUUCCCCGGUUCGAAUCCGGGCGGCGCCU